GAUUCAGCUCCUUUUGAUCAUGGCUCGGAUCCCACAUCCUACAUUCCAUUUCACCGAUAAUCCUAGUAGUAUAAAGGAGAUGGCUGUUGCACAUUUGCUGCUUAGCUUCACUGUUAUUGCUGUAGUUCUGUUGAUUGAAGCUGCAGUCACCUGCUUUGCGACUGAAACUGUUCUGUCCUUGGUCAGUGUUGCAAGUACUUCCUUUUGUUGACAAAUUCCUCUGUUUUUUUUGGUCUUCUUUUGCGAACUAAAACAAUACAAAGCGAAAGGAACCUGCAAGCAGCAAAAAUCCACCAAAGCAUGCAAAACUAGGGUUUUCAAGUUUGGAGCCGGAUUGUCUGUCACCCAGUUGACGGCCCAAAUCUAUCGCAAGAUAUCUGUUUGAUUUGAGCCAUCCAUUUAAAAUUUGCAAGGAACGACUCAAUUUAUUUUUUUGGAUACCAGUGUUCUGAUUUGAUAAUGUGAUAUUCAUAUUUUCAAGUAUCUCCAGCGGAUAGCUUAGUUGAAGAACAUUUCAUAAAAAAUUGUCAUCAAAAGGACAAAAGAAAAUCAUGUUGUCAAAUGAGCUUGUCCUCAGACAUAAUUUCAUUGUAUUGUUGCAGAAUUGGUGAUCUUAACUGUUUCAACGAAGGGCUUUGAUUCUCCAGAAGCACGAUGCUUGAGAUAAUCUCUUAAGCAGCAGCCCCUAUAUUGUUCAGGAUGGUCUUCGUUCACAAGUUUCAUAGCAGGCUCAAGGAUCUCAUCCAUUUCCAAACUCUGGAAACUGGCUAUAGAAAGUCUAGUGUCAUUCCCAGAAGUUCGGAUUGCUCGAUGCAAGACGGCUUUGUAUUCACCAUUGCUCAAUACCUCCAAAAGAUCUCCAACAAGGACUAGUAAAGCCCCUUUAAUCACAGGAACAGAUUUCCACUUCUUAUCAUUUUUGUCCAUGACUUGAAGACCUAAAGAACUCUGCAGAAGAAGAGUGAUGACGCUAAAAUCUGAAUGUUGGGAUGCACCUAUUAUCUUCAUGUUUGAUCCAGAAAUUGAUGAAUAGCUAUUUAUCGCAACCAUUUGGACGCCUUUUUCAAUUUCUGCUUUCAAAUAUGUUGCCUCCAAAUCCAAGCUUUCCAUGAUAGCUCCGCAUAUCUGAAUUGAUAAUUUCCUCAUCUCCAUUGUGCAGUUUCCCAUUAUUUCCCUGUUAUAGAAGUACAACUAUGACAUCAAUAAUUAUUUUUAGAUGAAA